AUUGAACGCUGGCGGCAUGCCUUACACAUGCAAGUCGAACGCGAAAGAGGGGCAACCCUUGAGUAGAGUGGCGAACGGGUGAGUAACGCAUCGGAACGUAUCCAGUAGUGGGGGAUAACCCAUCGAAAGAUGGGCUAAUACCGCAUACGCCCCGAGGGGGAAAGUGGGGGAUCCGCAAGGACCUCACGUUAUUGGAGCGGCCGAUGUCCGAUUAGCUAGUUGGCGGGGUAAGAGCCCACCAAGGCGACGAUCGGUAGCUGGUCUGAGAGGAUGAUCAGCCACACUGGGACUGAGACACGGCCCAGACUCCUACGGGAGGCAGCAGUGGGGAAUUUUGGACAAUGGGGGCAACCCUGAUCCAGCCAUGCCGCGUGAGUGAAGAAGGCCUUCGGGUUGUAAAGCUCUUUCGGCCGGAACGAAAUCGCAUCUCUUAACACGGGGUGUGGAUGACGGUACCGGAAGAAGAAGCACCGGCUAACUACGUGCCAGCCGCCGCGGUAACAC
rnacentral:rRNA from 1 species